rnacentral:rRNA from 1 species
UACAGAGGUCUCAAGCGUUGUUCGGAUUCAUUGGGCGUAAAGGGUGCGUAGGUGGCGCCGUAAGUGGGGUGUGAAAUUUCGGAGCUUAACUCCGAAACUGCAUUCCAUACUGCGGUGCUUUGAGGACUGGAGAGGAGACUGGAAUUUACGGUGUAGCAGUGAAAUGCGUAGAGAUCGUAAGGAAGACCAGUGGCGAAGGCGGGUCUCUGGACAGUUCCUGACACUGAGGCACGAAGGCCAGGGGAGCAAACGGG